CAUGGGGAGGUACUGGGUGAGGAAGUAAUCAUCAUCUACACCUCUGGCUUAGCAGGUGAGCCAGAAGUCUUCCAACCAUACACCAAGGUUCAUCUCCCCAGUGUACUUGGCGAUGUUGGUGGGCCGUCGGAAGUAUCGUGGGAAAGGCGCUUUUUGAUAUGGCAAUCGAAGGCCUGUGGUCCCGUUCCGUCCGGGGUAGCGCUCCGGUCACCGUUUCGGUCGCUCGGUCGGUCGCCUCGCCUAGGGUGCACUUCUUCGCACUCCUCAUGGAACCGGUCACAGGCCACGUUGGCCGCUCUUGCUGCCAUCUGUUCAACGUCGGCGUCGUGCCGUGCAUGGCGUCGCGUGUGGAGGACAUCGCGCGCGUCACGGUUCAGCCCGAUCCGCUCGCACAUGGGCUGAUACCACAACGCUGGUGCCGGGUCGGGCUGCGGAGCUGCCGCAGCGCUCUGCCUUGCCCGACGUGCCGGCGGGGGUGAGCGGACGAAGGGGUUUGACUGGUCCGGCCCAGCGCUCCGGUUGGGCAAGAGGCUGCGUGUCAUUCUCGCGAUGCAGAGCUCUCCGUCUGUUGUACGCCGGUGGUUUCCACCAGCGCCCAGAGGUUCCGAUGGAUUGCCUGCUCCUGGGGUCAGCUGGCUCGGGGAGGCUGGGCAGAAGCAUCGUUGCGGCAGCGAUGUUCUGUCCGGCCCAAGCUUAAUGCGGCAGGUCAUCCCCUCCUGCCAGGAUGUUAAUCUGGACCUGGCGGGCGCAACCUCGAGCGCCGCUUGUCGGGUUGCGCGCGUGCAUGAAGCGUCCCCACAUAUGCAUAGACUAAAUAUGAUACAAAUAUCAGUCCCAGGAGACUGAUAAUACAUUUAUUCAACAGAUGGUUCAUAAACCGUACAACUUCCGAGGGAGUAGGCAGGAAAGCCACGCUGAAAUGAGAAGUAAAUAGAAAAUAGCAGCGAGCCAAGCUACUAUCAAAAGACAACACUCGGGGCUACACGACAGCGGAAGCAUUCUGCAAAGGCCAACACCACAGGCAGCGUUGGGUGCGGAAGCGACCUCCUACUCGAAAUCCUCAGCGAUGAAGUCCAGAUCUUCCUCUGAAGCAACAAAAUAAGGGUGAGUACAAAAGUACUCAACAAGUCCAACCCCAUUCACGGAGGGGGAAUACAAUCAAGAAUAUGCACAAGAUAAUUCAAUGAUAAGGCUUAGGAUUAUUUGCAAUAAAGCUAGAUUUUCAACAGAUGCUAUGGUUCAUUUUCAAAAGAGUUUUUGUUCCGAAACAUUAAGUGGGGUUGAUGCUACACCAAUGAUCCAAGUUUUAAUGCUACCGAACUCCCCGUCCGCAGUAGCUCACGGCACAACUGCCGGACACUUCCAAAAUCCAACUCAUGUUAUGAAAACCAUCCAUCUCCAAGCACUAGUUAUGUGACCAAGCUGUAACUCGUCCAAUACCGUGGACACGGCUAUCCGGAUAGGUUUAACUCUACAGAGGUUAUACACUUUACCCACAAGUAGGGUACCGCAGCAUGAUCACCUUAGUAUCGGUGCAGAUCUUAUCAAAGCCAUUACCCACCUUAGCUAAGCCUGACUAGCCGUAGCAACCAAGGUGUUAAUGACCUACCAACGAGGUCUAAACCGGGAUCUAAGUUCACACAGUUCUGACUCCCUCUCCAUGGUCUCCCGUUGCUCACCAGCUCUCGUGAUGGCUAACAUUCUAGCUAGUGGGAUUUAUGCUAAGCCGUCGCCGCAUACAAUGGUCGAGUGGUUGGACGAUGGUUGGGUUAGGCAAGAUGACACAUCAACUCGGUCCUUAAUUGUGGCAAGAUGGAUAUCUCCCAACCUUGCUCAACCACAAAGGUACGAGCCCAACUCAUUAGCAUUUCACACAAGAAACACUCAUCCAUCUCAUCUAAGCAUUUCUUUCCUUUAUUUCUAAAAACCCAUUUUCCCUUUAAAAAAAACACCCACGCAUUUAUUUUUUAACAAAACACAUUGUAGUCAUGAUUGAAUUGAGUAACAAGUUCCUAAGCAUUCUAGCCGUAAUUAUCAUCCAAACAGAGCAAAUCAUAUUUAGAGAUAAUUAUAGGAGAUCAAGGAAUAUUCAUAACAAUCAAGGGGUGGCUAUCCAACCAUGUUUCAGCAGUAAAACAAUAUGCAAUUUUAUAAAAUAGGUCAAUAGGUUGUGUUUGAAAAACUGGGAUAAAUAUGCAUCAAAGGGUGGGAUUGGACUUGCCGUCCUUAAAGCCUCCGGGAGUUCCUGCUCGCGGUACGGGUCUUUGGGCUCCGACUCGCGUUACUGGGCUUCAAGUUUGUCUUCGGGCUCCUCCGCAGCCACUGCACGAUCUACCCGUCGAGGUCGAAGGGAGGGAGUGAACUAAAAAUAUGAAAUGAGGAGUAUUUUCAGGGAUUUUGUAGAUGACUCGGUGCAAAUAUAUGUAAGAAUGACGUGGUCGAAUUUGGGGUUUAUUGGAGGGAGUUUGGCGCAUGAAAUGACAAGAUAACAGUGUAUUUAGGGGGUUAAAAUGAGCUUAGGACCAAUCUGCGAGAACCAAGGACCUAUUUCUAAUUAUCUUUGGGAGGUGGAGGGGUUUGGGUGCAAAAAUAAAUAAGCGGAUGGGUGAAAAAGCAAAAUAGCCUUUCUUACAGAGUCAUGCAUGGGAAAAGGCACAGGAAGAACGGGAGAGCGGCACGGUUGGGGAGAGGGGGUGCUGGGGCACGGCGACGGUCGGAAAGUGGGGGAAAACGGAGAGUAGGCUGAGGGGAUUUGAUUCCUCUCCUUACCUUUGGCUGAGGUGGCUCCUGAAGGUGGUUCCGCAGUGACGGGUGGGAGACUUCGAGGGCGGCACUGGGAGCACGGGAGUGAGGGAGUUGGGCGGGAAGCUCGGUAGUGGAGUCGAGAGUGGAGCGGAGGUCAUAGAUGGGAGGCAAGGUGGAGCGGGCUGUCGACGGGCGGCGCACAGGAACGGGCGGAGUUAAUGGCCAUCGGGAUGCUCGGGCACAGGAUGGUGGCGUGGCGACGUGGAGCUCCGCAUGCGUGGCGUGGCGAGGCCGGGCUCACGCAGCGAGGCGAACAAGGAUGCCAUGGCGUGCUCGAGCAGCGAUGCGCGUGGUUGGGCGCUGGUGGCGAGCUGUUAGUGCGGCGCGGCGUCGGGAGCGUGGCGUCGCUGUGCGCUGGGGAGGCGAGGGCACGAUCGGUGCUGGAGGCGAGGCCUGGGCUGCGCGUGUGCGGGGCGCGGUGUAGGGAUGCACCCUAGUGUGCGGUGGCGCUGUGGCGAGGUGCGUGCGAGGGAGGAUCAGGGCACUGGGCAACGAUGCGCUGGGGUACGUGCGUUGUGCAGGUGGGGUCGGGGGUGGCGGGAGGUGGCGUGCAGCACCUGUGCGGGCAGCAGAGGUGCAGGGGGCCAGCGCUGGGGGCUAUGCGCGAUGCUGCGCUAGGGAGGGAUAGGUGCGGGCCCAGGGGAAGCACUGGCGCACUAAGAAAAGCCAGGCACCAGGCGACGGGUGCUGGAGCAUGCGGCAGGGGAAAGGAAAAAAAAGAAAGAAAGGGAGAAAAAGAAUCAUGCGCGUCCAUGCUGAGCGGCAGGUGCUGGUGAGAUGCGUGCGGCUAGGAAAAUGAGUCAUGUGCAGCAGGAGAGAGAAAAAAGGGGGGAAGGGAAAAAGAAAAAGAAAAAGGAGGGGAGAAGAGAAAAGAAAAGAAGGGAAAUAAGGAAGAGAAUAAAAAGGCAGAAAAAGGGAAGGAAAAGGGUGAGGGAAAAAGAGAAGAAAAAUAGAGAGACGGCAGUGAUUGUGAGAAUGGUUGCGGGCACACGCGGGAAUCUUUCGUCUGGCACGAGGCGUGACACGCGGAGAAGGAAAAAUGGAAAAUGGAUAGAUGGUGGUCGGCUUCGAUGCCGGACGGCGAACUUGUCGGGAAGACUGGAUUUUAGAGAGCUUAAGCAGUGAAAGAUUUUGAAAGCGAUUUUUAGCGACUGAUUUUGGUUGGUGAAUUUUAUGGGCGUUACAGUGCGGCCUGGAGUGAUGCUCUUGGCGCGCUGGCGGAGGCGGCUACUGAUCCUGCUGCCACUGUCGCAGCUCAUCGCCGUGCGCCUGCGCUUGCACUAGGGCCUCCGCACGGUGGUUCGGCGGGGUGUGAGUCUCAACAGACUCCACCACCUCCGGAAGCUAUUCUAGGGCGUCCGCCAUGGCGCACUCCCGGGACAGAGGAUGGUCAAGUGCCAUCAUGGCACCAAUGCUGGAGGCGUCGCUCUCAAGCUCCUCGUCGCAGAGGUCGUGGAAGGAGGCAGGAGCAGAGUCUGCCAUUCCCACGAACUCGCGCGGGUAGAUUGAUGACGUCAUGACCCUCCAGAGCCCCCGCGUGUACGCGUCCACGGGGGACGCAAGACCAAAGGGGAGCCAGCCGUGUGGCGAAUGUGGUGGGGACAAUGGAGCUCCUCCGAAGAGCUGGUUGAAAGUGUUAGCCAGUGAAUACAUGAUAGUGUCCAUGUCAUUCAUCGUGGGGUUCGUGCCCAACACGGACUCGAUGCGGAGCGCAAGUGCCUCCACGUCAAGGUCGUCGAGCGGCUCGCAGAUGAUGAUGCGAGCCACCUUUCCCGAGGAUGCCGGGGGAGUCGUCUCCUCACGCAGGCGGAGUACGCCGAGCUUACUGAUGAUGAAGUCCAGACUUCCGAAGCGGAAAGCCUGGGAUAGCGCGAAGACAGGUGGAACCCACAUCCCACCGAGGGUGGGCGCGAGAAACUCCAGCGAGCCGAAGCGAAUUGUAUCGCUCGAGCCCACCAUGCUGAAGGUAGCGGUCAGGUGGGCCAUCUAAUGACCUACAAAACGCGAACGCAACAGCGUCUUACCCACAGAUGGCGCCAACUGUUGGUGUGAAAUCUAGUUGACAAGUAAAUAUUUGUAGUUUUACCGUGCGUUAGAUCGGAUAUGGCCUAGCACACAAUGACAUAGGAUGUAUACUGGUUCGGGCAACGCGCCCUACGUCCAGGCGGGGUCAGUCGGUCGACUUUAUUCCUGAGCCUAGGUGCUCAAAGUUUGUAGUGGGGGUACAAAUGAGAGGAGGAUGAGAGGGGGUGCUUGAUUCCUGGUUUUGUUCUCGUCUCAGUGGAAGAGAGUGGCAGGAGCUCAGAUGUGCGCUAAGUGUGUGAGAGUGUGAAAGCGUAAGAGUGUAAGAAUGUAAGAGUGCGUAAGUCGCAGAGCUGGAGGGUCCAUCCCCUAUUAUAGUACAAGGGAACGGCCUUACAGGUCGGAAAGGAUAAGAGAGUGAGUGUACGGGUGCUCCUAGUCUUGUCGAAGUACAUGUCGUCUGGUGUGAUAUGGCCUCCGUCCUUGGUCUUUGUUCUCCUCGUUAAGCCACUCCGUCGUAGCGAGUAAGUUUAUAGUGGUACUGUAUAGGCGUGCACAGGGCGUGGCACGGUACGGUUCUGCAUACGACCGGCUGACCCGGUGCUUCCUCAUUAUCCGUCCCACCUGCUGAAGCGUCCCCACAUAAGUAGAGAAUAAAUAUGAUCCAAUUAUCACUCACAGGAGGCUGAUACCACAUUUAUUCAACAGACAGUUCAGAAACCGUACAACUCCCGAAGGAGCGGGCGGGCAAGCCACACCCAAAGUAAAACUAAAGCGAUAACAAUACAAAUCCAAGUUGCAGUCCAGUCGGACUCUGGGCUGCAAUCGGAACUAUGCGUCAGGGGAAGCAUUCUGCAAAAGGGCCAACACCGAAGGCAGCGUUGGGUGCAGACGCAACCUCCUACUCGAAGUCCUCGGCGACGUAGUCCAGAUCCUCCUCUGAAGCAACAAAACAGGGGUGAGUACUAAAGUACUCAACAAGUCCAACCCCAUCCACGGAGGGGGAUACAGCAAGAAUAUGCAUCGGAUACAACAAGGAUAUGGUUAUGGUUUAUUUGCAAGAAAGCUAGAUUUUCAACUCAUGCAUGGGGUCAUUUUCAAAGAGUUUUUCACAAGUAAUUUAUUUUAAUAACCGAAACGUCAAGUGGGGUUGACCCUACACAAAGGGUCCAAGUUUUAUCGCUACCGAACUCCCCGUCUGCCGUAGCGCACGGCACAACUGCCGGACACUUCCAAAAUCCAACACACACCAAAGGAACCAACCAUUCCCAAAAGCUAGUUAUGUGACCAAGCCGUAACUCGUCCAAUGCCGUGGACACGGCUACCCGGAUAGGUUUUAACUCUGCAGAGGUUGUACACUUUUCCCAUAAGUAGGGUACCGCAGCACAAAUCACCUUAGUGGCGGUGCGGAUCCUAACAAAGCCAUUACCCACCUUAGCCAAAACUGAGUAGUCAACACGGAAGCACCCAAGGGGUUAACGACCCAUCCACGAGGCUGAAACGGCGACCUAAGUCACCAAGAGCUUAAUCCUUUUUCCAUGGGCUCCCGUCGCUCACCAGCACACCUGAAGCCUAGCAGUUUAGCUAGUGGGAUUUAUGCUAAGCCGUUGCCCAUACAACGGUCGAGUGGUUGCACGAUGGUUGAAUUAGGCAACAUGACACAUCAACUUGGUCCUUAGCCAUGACAAGAUGGAUAUCUCCCAACUUUGCUCAACCACUAAGGUACGAGCUCAACAAACCGGCAUUUCACACAAGAAACGCCCAUCCAUCUCAUUCACACACCACUUCUUUUUACACCCGAAAACCCAUCUCCUCAGUUGAACACACUCACACAUUUAUUUUCCGAAUAAACAAGUGUAGUCAUGAUUGAAUUUGAGUAACGAGUUCCUAAGCAUUCUAGCAGUAUUUAUCAUCUAAACAGAGCAACUCAUAUUUAGAGAUAAAUAUAGGACAACAAGGAAUAAUCAUAACAAUCAAGGGGUGGCUAUCCAACCCUGUCUUGCAAUAAAACAAUAUGCAUUUUAUAAAAUAGGCCAAUAGGUUGUUUGAAAAACUGGGUAUUAAAUAUGCAUCAAUGGAUCAGGUCGGACUUGCCGUUCUCAAAGCCUUCCGGGAGCUCCUGCUCGUGGUACUGGUCCUCAGGCUCGGUCUCACGGUCGAACUCUUCCUCAUGCUCCUCCUCGGGUACUCCGCGAUCUACGGCACACACAAACGAGCACACAAUAAAUAAAAAGAAAAAGACUUUACCCGUUGAGCUCUGAACAGGAAAUGUGAAUGGAAAAUGGGUAGGAAGGGUAUUUUCAUGAAAUUUGGAUAUGCCUCGGCGGAAAUAUAUGAGAGGAGGCCGUGGUCGAAUUUGGGAUCGAUUGGAGGAAGUUUGGCGCAUGAAAUGACAGGUUAAAGGGAUGUUAGGGGCUUUAAAACAAGGUUUAGGACUGAAUUGUGAAAAUCGAGGACCUAUUUGUAAAUAUUCUAAAAAGUGGAAGGGCUCAGCUGUGAGAAUCCCUAGGGAGAGGUGGAAGGACCGGGUUGUAAAUAAAAGAAACAAGAGGGGCAGAUCGAAAAUCGAAUUCCUCUCUUCUUCUUCUUUCCUCUACUUCCGAACAGAGGUGGGGGGGGGGGACACGGCCGGCGGCGGGUCGGCCGGCCUGACCCACCAGCGGCGAGGCCGAGCGGCGGGGAAGAUAGGGGAGGGUGAGAGGAGUCCAUUUGACCCCUCACCUUGGGCGAUUUGUGGCCGGACCAAGGGGACCGACGGUGGCAAGGAAGCGCAGCGGAGGUCCUGGCGGCGGCGGCGGUUGGCGCCGGGAGAGGCGGACGGAGGAAGGCCGGCGAGCUUGGGAGAUGGUGUUGGUCGUGUGGGGGAGGCGGCAGAGCUCGGCCCCUCUUUUAUAGGCGGCGGGGAGGGCGUCGGCGCCCGAGGCGGCGGGACUGGUGAUUUGACGGUGGCCGAACCUGUCCGGCCGGUGGCGUGCCGGAGUGGACGUGCACGUGGUUGGCGUGGCGGGGAGGCGCGGUCGCCAAGGGCGCACAGGGGCGGCGACUGCGCGGGGAGGCGCGCCGGGAAUGGGGGUGCGUGGCGGUCGGCGGGCGACCCGGAUCGGCCGGCGGCGCGCGGCGCGGCACGCGCGGCCUGGCGCUGGCGGAGGGGUGCGCGCGAGCGCGUGCGGGGCAGGCGGCGCGGCGCGGUGGCAGUCGCGCGCGCGUGGGCAUGGCGUGGGCCCAGCGCGCGUGCGGGAGCUGUACGUCUGGGGGGGCGCGCAGGGGCAGGCAGCGUUCGGGCAGCGCGAGGAGGGAAAGGCCGGGCGCCUGGCGCCAGAGAGGAAAAGGAGGAGAGAGAGAGGAGGAGGGAAGGAGGAGGGAGAAGAAGAGGAAGAAGGAAAAAAAAGGAGAAAAAGAAGAAAGAGAAAGAAAGGGAGAAGGAAAAGAAAAGGGAGGAAAAAGAGGAGGGGAAAGUGGUGAAAAUUUCGGGAUCUGACCGGCGCGCGUGAUGGAUUUGACGGGCACGCGGCGAAAAACACGGGGCACAGAUAAAGAGGGUUGACGACGUUGGGGCCGGAACGGCGAAUCUGACGAGAAAGGAAAAGAUUUAUCGGGGCUCAACGGUCAGAAAAUUUUGGAAUGCAUUUUUAACGGGUGAUGUAAUUUGGUAAAUUUCCACGGGCGUUACACCUGCUCCCUGGGCCCAUAUUGAGCGAGCAUCCCUGGUCGAUUGUACCAGUCGGCCCCGACUGAGUCGGUCGGGGGAGCGUUACGGGUGGUACGGCGUAUCAUUAGUCGGGAGGAUCGGUCGGAAGUACCCGGUCAGGAGAGCUCAGUCGGGAGAACUCAGUCGGGGUUGGACUGUGGUCCCUCCCUUAACUGGCUCUUUCCAACCAGUUGGCUGGUGGCCAGAUCGUGGUCUCGGUCUGGCUACGUGUAGUUGGGCUAGCCUAGAUAUGUGUUGUUGUUGUGCCCUUUGUUGGGCCAAGUGUCGUGGGAAGGCAGUCUUGUUGGGGACCCCGGGUCUAUGGACCCGUCAAUCCUUCUCCUGACCCAAUGAUUCCACCAUUCCUUGGUAGCAGUGAGGCCUUGAGUUCUUAAGAUCUUGAUGCCCAAUUCUGUAUGUCUCAGGAGGGGGGUUCAACAGCUAGUGAUGCUAUGGCAAGUGCAAGUACGCAAGCUAUGCAAACUCAGCCAACACAGCCAUGUGGGUCAUCUAAGAAGGUGGUUUUUCUCUACCCACAUUAGCUUCCAUAUUGAAUCCUAGUAUCCCUCUGGAGGAAUCGUCGAUUCGUAGAGGCAACAGACUUAGUCAAAACAAAUAUGGAUAUCAGUUUUUUCAGCUUGAAGAUCAUCCAAGGAAAAAGGCAGAGGGUUUGGGCGGAGGUGCCCAUAAAAAUAAAUGAUGCGGAUAAGCUUCUGGAUAAUCCACCCAAGCCAACUGAUGAGGUAGUCUCUAGAUAGGUCCCAAUGGAAAUCAUGCAUGGUUGGGCAAUUGACUGCAAUGUCGCUCCUAAGGAGCUGACAAAAGAUGCCCUUAUGGAAGGGCAACCAUCCUAGGUGAACCCAUGAAGAUACAACAUAUGGAAGCUCUGUGCAGGAAGACAUCUUUUGGUAAUGAUCAUUUUGCAAGAUGGCAGCGCUUACCUGCAGUCUCUUUAAUUUUUGUUAUGUCUUUGUUUGUGUUUUGUGGUUGCUACUUAGUCCAAACCUAUUUUAGUCCUUUUCGUGACACAAAGUAAAGUUUGAUGACAAUUGUGAGCUGUGGUUUGCUCCUCGCGUGCCUGAUCCUUCCAGGCUCUAUUUUCAGUUUAUCAAGGGCCUUCCUCCUAAAUCUGCUUCUGGUCUAGAAUUUCACUCUUUCUGCUUCACCGUGUACUUGCUGCAUUGGUUUUUCUCAUCCAUUUCUUGGUGUCAACAUGAAUAGAAGUUGGACUAUUCUUUGUUGAACAUUAGGGGUAUUAACAAUGAUAGGAAGUUGGAUGCUUUGAGAAAUAAAAUAGAGGAGAGUGCGUGUGCGGUUAUUUGCCUGCAACAAACUAAAAGAGAAAGCCUUGACACCCCCUAUAUUAGGAAUUUUGCUCCUAGACGUUUGGAUAAGUUUGAUUACAUUCCGUCAGUGGGACCAUCUGGAGGCAUUCUUGUCAUUUGGAACAGUUAUAUUUUUUAUGCUUGCACGUUGGAUAAAUAGAACUUUGCUAUCUCCCUAUCUUUUCCUUCUUGCCACUCUUUGGAAACUUGGAAGUUAUACACAGUCUAUGGCCCUUGCAUUGAGCUAGCUAGAUCAGAAUUUAUACAGUGGCUAAGGAACAUUCACAUUCAACAAGAUGAUAAUUGGAUAUUUAUGGGGGACUUUAAUUUCUAUCGAUCUCUGGAUGAUAGGAAUAAGCUAGGUGGUGACAUUCAUGAUACUAUCGUUCAAUGAUGUUAUUGGUCACCUCGGCUUACUGGAACUUCCUAUCAAAGGGAGGACUUACACAUGGAGUAAUAUGCAGCAAUAUCCUAUCCUAGAGCAGCUAGAUUGGUUCUUCACCACAGUCAAUUGGACUGGUUCCUAUCCAAAUACCAUGAUCCUACCCUUGGCCAAACCAAUUUCAGAUCACAUUCCAUGCAAAGUGAUGAUUGGGACCUCAAUUCCUAAAUCCAGGAUUUUUGGUUUUGAGAAUUUCUAGCCCGAGGUCAGUAGUUUUAUGAUAAAAGUUCAAAACAGCUGGAUAGUCACUCCCAAUCAUAAAUCUGGGUCAGCACCUAUCUUGGCAACAAAAUUUAAAAAUCUAUGACAAGCCCUCAAGAAGCGGAGCAAGAAUAUAUCAAACUUGAGCAAAUUGAUAGAAAAGUGCAACAAGACCAUCCUGUUUUUUGAUUGCCUAGAAGAAUGCAGGCCCCUAUACAUCACUGAAUGGAAUUUUAGAAAGAAAAUUAAGGAUCACCUAUUACAACUCCUGAAUUUUAAGAACCUGUACUGGAAGAAGAGGUUCACUGCUGACAGAAUCAAAUGCGGGAUGAAUGUACUAAAUUCUUUCAUGCCAUGGCAACAGUAUCCUAUAGGAAGAAUUCGAUCUCUCAGCUUAAGGAUGACAGUGAUCUGGAGGUGCAUAAGCAUGAGGGCAAGGCAGCCCUGAUUUGGAAUGCUUUUAGAAAUAGAAUGGGGAUCUCCUCCAACCUAGCUAUGCUUUUUUAUCUUCAUAAUCUGUUAUCUAGGAGGUUGAUCUUUCAUAUUUUACUCAACCUUUCACUAGAGAAGAAAUUGACAGAAUUGUUGCCUUAAUGCUUUCAAAUAAAGCACUUGGCCCUGAUGGCUUCAAUGAUCUUUUCAUUAAAAAGUGUUGGCCAAUUAUUAAGGAGGAUUUUCAGAAACUUUGUCAGGAUUUCUUUGAUGGCUCCAUUUCACUAGAAUCGAUCAAUACCUCCUUCAUAACUCUAAUUCCAAUGAAUAAUAAUCCAGAGAUAGUUAACGACUAUAGAUCCAUUUGGCUACUUAACUGCAGUAUCAAAAUCCUAACUAAGAUCCUUGCAGAGAGAUUACAGCUGGUCAUUCUGUUACUUCUUCACAAGAACCAAUAUGGCUUCCUCCAUUCCAGAACUAUGCAAGACUGUCUUGCAUGGUGUUUUGAAUAUAUACACCAAUGCCAUCAAUCCAGAAGGGAAAUUCUCAUCCGUAAACUUGAUUUCGCAAAGGCUUUUGACACAGUAGAGCACUUCGCAAUGCUGGACAUUAUGAAACGCAUGGGAUUUCCUGAGAAAUGGUUGAAUUGGAUUAACCUGCUCUUCACCUCUGGAUCAUCCUCGGUUUUACUCAAUGGGGUUCCUAGCAAACAGUUUCUAUGUAAAUGAGGGGUUAGACAGGGCGAUCCUCUCUCUCCACUCCUCUUCGUCAUUGCAGCAGAGCUUCUGCAAGUGGUUGUCAAUAAGGCUUUUCAAGACGAACACCUUGUAGCACCCCACCCACAAGCUCAUCCUGACUUCCAUAUAGUCCAAUAUGCUAAUGACACCAUCCUAAUUAUGCAGGCUAAUAGUACACAAUUGCAAUACCUAAAAAAGUCUUCUUCAUGUUUUCUCAGAGUCUACAGGUCUCAAGGUUAAUUAUAACAAGUCCUCUAUGAUCCCUAUCAAUAUUUCGGAUCAGUUAAUAGCACAACUAGCCUCUGAGUUUGGAUGCCAGAUUGGGAGUAUGCCGUUUGCGUAUCUUAGACUACCGAUGGGCACAACAAAACCAAAAUAGAUGACUUCUAACCUAUCAUGGACACGAUUGAGAGAAGACUCACUGCCUGUUCUUCGCUUCUGUCCUUGUCAGGAAGACUUCAACUGGUCAAUUCAGUUAUCACCUCAAUAGUGUUAUACCCCAUGUGCACCUUGAAACUUCACAAAGGGGUCAUUGAAAAUAUUGACCGGGCUAGAAAACAAUGUCUCUGAAGAGGGAAUGAUUUCAGUAAGAAAGAGGGAAAUUUAGCAGCUUGGUCACUUUACCCAAGGAAAAAGGAGGUCUUGGAGUUAUAAACCUUAGAGUCCAAAAUGAUGUACUCCUACUGAAGCAUCUUGACAAAUUCUAUGCUAAACACGAUACCCCUUGGGUAAACUUGAUAUGGUCAUCAUAUCAUGUUGAUAGAGUGCCUCAUGCCACGAGAGAGAUAGGGUCUUUUUGGUGAAAGGACAUCCUGUGCCUAAGUACUCUCUUCAGAGGGGUCGCUACUUGCACUAUUGGGAUGGAUCGACAGCCAUGUUCUGCGAAAACUUAUGGAGUGCUCAAAUCAUUGCUGACCUUUAUCCCAGGCUUUUCUCCUUUGCAAGAAACCCAAACCAGUCAGUCAAGGAUGUUAUGGCAGCCCAAGACUUAUCUACCAUCUUUACCCUCCCGCUAUCCUAGGAAGCCUUUGGAGACUUGGUUGCACUUCAAUCCUACCUGCAAGAUUUCGUGCAUAGUGAGGACUCCAAAGAUAUUUGGGUUUACAUUGGGAAAGUGCCAACUACACCUCUGCCAGAUUCUAUAAGCUUGGAUUUUCAGGGUUGCAAACCCCUGAGACUUUUGCUUGGCUAUGGAAAUCAAAAUGUACGCCUCAGGUCAAGUUUUUUGCCUGGUUACUCUUGGUGGACAAACUGAAUACAAGAAAUAUUUUACGAAGAAGAAACCUGAAUGUGCAAUCUCGAUUAAUUGUGUUUUGUGUAACAACGUUGUUGAGGAAGAUAGGGAUCAUCUUUUCUUCAAAUGCCCCUUUUCCAUUAGUUGCUGGUCCAAGUGGAACAUCUUCUGGAGUACUCAUGCAGUGAUUCAUAGAAGAUUAUCCAGAGCAAGAAAUGUAGCAGAUCAUCCUUUCUUCAUGGAUGUCUUCAUCCUGGCGCCCUGGGAAAUCUGAAAAAUGCGUAAUGCCAUCAUCUUUGACGUAGCAAGACCAAGUGUGAUCCAUUGGACUGUGAAGUUCAAGGAACAUGCUCUUUCUUCAAUCUAUUCGCUUUAAGAAAGAUUGUAGAGUUCUUUUUUUUGCAAUGGCUUGACUCAGUGUUGUAACUAUUUUCCCCCUUCCUUCCCCCUCCCCUUUUUCCCUCUGUAAGUAUGCCCUCUGAACUUGUCUAACCUCCUAUUUUUUAUAGAAAACCGAAGUGGUGUGGGGAACUCCCCCACAAUUUGCCCUUCAAAAAAAAUUAUCUCCCCUUUCCACCUUCUUUAUCUCUCUUCUUACUUUCCUUCCUUUGUGCCCCCACUACUACUUGUUUUUGACUGAGCAUCGAGAAAUUUGCAAUAAAUAUAGACUACUAACACUACAAGAUUCACCCUUUUCCCUUACAGUUCCUUUUAUAAACAGCCAACAAUUCCAGUAUAUUUGAUUCACUAACUCUAAAACUGUGGGGGGUGAAGUUGUCGGGGAUUAUAUUGUUGGCAAUUCAUCAAAACUAUGGGGAAUGAUGGAAAAUUAUACUACAAACAUUAUUGGCCACUGUGGGGAAUGAUGAAAAAUUAUACUACAAACAUUAUUGGCCACUUACUAACAUGCUAAACACUGUAUAGCAUUUUAAAAAUUGUUGGGAAUAAUGUCAACUCUUGUAGUGAGAUGCAUGAUCCGCAACUAAGGAUUAUUUGGUCCAAAUAUAUUGGGCUUCGCCCUGAGCAGUGAUUUGGGAGGUCGAGGAUGAGCUCCACCGGUUCGUUGACCAAGUAAUCAAUCGGCAAAUAAUUAAAAAGUUACUCCCUCCGUCCUACAAAAAUUGUUCGUUUAAAAAAAAUUAGACAAGAUAAUAGCAAUGUUAAAAGUUCAAUGUGCCCCUAAUGACUCUUUUUACUCGGAUGGAUUACCGAGUAGAAUUAAUUAUGCAAGCAUGUUUGCAGUAAUUGUCGGACCUAUUAGUCUUCCUUAUUUAGCGAGUCUGACUCGAGCAUUGAUGGUGGGAGUAAAUGAUCGAUUCGUAAACUAAAUCAAAAAGUAAAACGAGGAGUUUUGGUGGAUGAUGCGGAAGUUAUAUGAACUUUUGAAAACGGGACGGAGGGAGUACACUCAACACUCUGACUCCGCUGCCCUAUGAGCAUUUGGCAGCCAGAUCAUGCAGCUCCGAUCCUGUGCACUCUACGCUUCUACAGUAGUGGCAGCGGGGCACCGGCUCGGUGGGUGUGAACAGUGAACCUAAGCUUGCGGUUAGUGUACCAGUGGUAGCUUUACGACUAGCUCCGGCUUCCCGGGCGAACAGUGUCCGCCGGAACCGGGCCGCCAAACUCUCGAGCCGUGGCGCAAGGUGGGCGACGGGGAGAAAGCAGCCGAGUUGGGUGGUGGUGCAAGUACGUAGAGCCAGACCUCCAACUGCAAGCAGUACUGCUGCCGCGAAGAACGUGACGGUGGUUGGUUGCAACGGUAACGUCCUGCGGGGCAUUAUGCGCCGCUACUGUGCACGUUGACCGCGUGAUCACUGUCUCACUGUCACUGGCGGCAUAUGCAUUGCAUGCAUGCUAUAGCUCUCGCCUCUCGGGCUCGGCGCGAGGACGGGCACGGCAUGGCCGUCACGUCGCCGUAGUGCAGGCCCACCCAGCCAGGCACGGCGUACUCCUACUCCUAGGGCGCUAUAGAGCGGACUCGACAGGCGAGUGGCGCGGAGUGGGCGAGUCACGUCGCUGUCGAACCCGAGGCGCGAGGCGGGCCAGGAGACACCCAAUCAGAUCGCACUAGCCGCGAGGCUGGUUGCUUGACCAGUCAAGAUCCGGGUGGGGCCGGCGCAGAUCCGGGCGGGGCCUCGUGCCCGUCGUGCGCGCAUUCAUCGCUCCCUGCGGAGCCUGCUCCCCUCGGCGACCUCGGGAGAGAGCGACGUCUCAGGUCUGGCGUCUGGCUCUGGCCCCUCCGUCGCCUCGAGAUACGCGCCACGACGGCCCUGUGUGGUGGUGGCAUGGCAUCACGGCGCAGAGCCCUCCUCGUGCUCUGUGUACCUGAGUACUUGUGCCGCUGGAGCGUUUGGCAACUUGGCAAGGGCUGGAUCUCGCUUGCACCGAUGUGUUUAUCUUCUCCAGAAACCAACAGCUGCAGCCAAAACAGCCAACGUGGGUGCCUGCUUGGGUGGGGUGGUGCUGCACUGCUGGCUGCUGCUGCCCGCGUGCCUCGUCCCUGUGCUACCGCGACCACUACUGCGGGAGUGCAACUGCAAAGCCUAUCCCGCGCGGACAGAGCUGCACACCGGAAUUCAGCACCGUGUGGAGAACAUCAGAUUUUCAGAAUCCAAAAUCCAGAAUCUGUCAGGCCUCUUGCUGCGUAUCCAUAAUCAUAUCUAAAUUCACACCUAAUUUAAAUGAAAAAAAAUAUGUGUAGAAAAUUAUAUAUCUAUUGAAGAUAGGAAGGGUAGAGUACAGGAAGGUACAAUUUAUCCAUUGGAUAUAUAUAUAUUAUCUAGUAUAAAAUUAAUUAUUUAUUGGAUAUGUGUGAGAAUAGAAAGGGUGAGGAUUGGAUAAUAUAUAUUUGGAUUUGGAUACGAACAAGAGUGGGUUUGUCCAUACCCUCCCCAGUGGCCGGCCUAUCUGAGAUGGCCUAUCUGAGAUGCCUCCAAACAGGAUAGAUUCUAGCCCAAAUUCUAGAAUCUAAAUUUUGAAUUGUGAGAAUCCUAGAAGUUGCUCAAGGGUUGAUUCUACCGUAUUUUGCAUGUAUAUUUUUACCUUUUUGCCCACCAUCCUUUUGAAUAAUUACCCGAUAUACCAUUGUCCAUUUUUUGAUAGAAGGGUAUAAAAGACAUCUAUCCAACAAACUAGCAUACGAUCAGAUUUUGGAAUCUAGGAUCCAAACAACACCAUCCAUAAUUUACUUAGAAUCUAGAUCUGAAAUCCAUCCAAAAUUUGUAUUUUCAAAAUCCACUACUGGAUUCAAACGGGACCUUCUUUCGGUCCAAAAAUCAACAUCUACCUCUGGUCCAGGUUGAAUACCUAUAAAUUCUAGAACCCACCCAGCUUGUAGAAUCCAACUAUGGAUCCCAACACUCUAGCAUCUGCCACAGAUUUUAGAAUCCAAAACUAGCGGAUUCCAAAAUCCUAGACGCCGAGGAAACAUAGCUUCAAGCUGAGCAAAUGAUGAUAUUACCCUAACCUUUUUCACAUCCCCGUGCUACCAGCAAGGGUAUUAUAGGUAUUUGGUACCAUAAAGCAACAGUCCAUCCACCCUAGUACUGGUUUUUUAUUAUACGGAGUUUAUGGAAACUAUAGUCAUCAAAUUAUUUUUUGUGUAUUUGAAGGAUGUCUGAACUUUGGCAAACAGGCUGUUAGGUAAGGGUCAACUAACCAAGAUGCUCCUGCCGAUAGCAAUAACUCGUUUUGCCUUCUGCUGCUAACCAUUCUUGCCAUUGGGGUGUUCUUGUUCUUUACGGAAAGGGAGCAGCCAUCCACGAGUGACUGAGUGCGUAGCAUGGCAAAUUUUCCGUUUGCUUCAUCUGGACAACUCCUUUCCCUUUUUGAGACGACGGCGAGGCGACGAAAUUUUGACAAAGGAUGCCCAUUAAACGUCUAAAAGUUACUACUACUUCUAUCGCCGGUAAUAUAUGCCCUUUAUGAAGGAUCUGCACGUCUAUGUGACGACAAGAAACAAAAGAAAAACGAAUAAUACACCUACAAAAAUCGACCAAAGUAUUUGAGAGAAUAUGUACCCGUGAGCGAUCGAUUGAUCUGGAGGCAGGAAGAUUUCUGAAACCGAGGUUGCAUCCAUCUUUCUCCGAAAGGACGUGAAGGUGCAGGUCCCGGCACAAUUUUACUUUACAGGCGUUCAGAUUCUGUGUAUGCCGCCGGUUUUUUUCGUUUUUGAAAAAGCAUCACUUGUUGGCAUCCGUGGAUCCACACGAUCCUCUUGACGAGACAGAUGAAGCUGGGGGCUUUUUAUCCUUGUCGUUUCUUUGGAGCAAUUUUAGGGUUUGCUUUCCAGCCGGUCACGUGUACUCUACACCCUUUGCAGGAACGAUAUGGUUAGGUUCGACCCUCUUGCAGUCUUGCUAGAUCUUCCGAAAUAUAUUUAGAUUUGUGUUAAACUGUCACCUCGGAUGUUCGGAUGUUAAAUAGAAGGGCUAAAUAUGAGUUAAUUAUAAAACUAAUUGCAGAACCUCUUGGCUAAUUCGCGAGAUGAAUCUAUUAGGUCUAAUUAAUCCAUCAUUAGAAAAUGCUUACUGUAGCACCACAUUGUCAAAUCAUGAACUGAUUAGGAUUAAUAGAUUCGUCUCGCGAAUUAGACUCCAUCUGUAUAAUUAGUUUUGUAAUUAGCCUAUGUUUAAUACUCAGUAAACAUCCGAUGUAACAUGCGCUAAACUUUAGCGGGUGGUAUCCAAACAUCUCCUUAUUAUUGUGUUCUCAAAGAUUUUUAAAAAAAUUCUUGAGUUCUCGAUGCUAAUAUCGAUCAUAUGUCCUUUGAUGCUUAGGCUAGUCCCAGUGCAAGGUUUCAUUGCACAGUUUCCAAGGAUGCCACAUUAUCCCAUGAGGUGUAUUCUCAUGAAUGAAAUAGAGAGUCCCAGUGCACAGUUUCAUUUCACGAUUUCAUAGGAUGACCAUCACAUUUAAUUGUGAGGCAUGUGAUUAGAUAUAGUAGAUGAAAUGAAAACUCUAUAGCACCCAAUGCAAGUUUCAUGGUCUUGGAAACAAUUUCAUCCUGAUGAAACUACUUCCCUCUCUAACUUCAUAAUUAUCAUGCCAUGUCAUCAUAUAUGCUGAUGCGUCACUGUAUUUAAUGUGUAUGAAGCCUCUAUGAAAUCCCCACUGGGAUUAACCUUAUAAUCCUCUUAUAUACUCGAAGAAAGCCCUCUCUCAUAUUGCAGCUGCGACACGUUUAGUUCGAACAAUAAAGUUGGACUUAAUUGCCGACUUCAGUAAAUCAAAACUCGUCAUGUCGUCUGAGUGGGUGUUUGGAAGGAGGGGCUAAAUUUUAGCCCCGUCACAUCAAAUGUUUGGACACUAAUUAGAAGUAUUAAACCUAAACUAAUUACAAAACUAAUUACACAACCCCUAGGCUAAAUCGCGAGACGAAUCUAUUAAGCCUAAUUAGUAACCAUUCACUGAUGAUGGAUUAAUUAGGCUUAAUAGAUUCAUCUCGCGAUUUAACCUAGGGGUUCUGCAAUUAGUUUUGUAAUUAGCUUAUAUUUAGUCCUCCUAAUUAGUAUCCGAAUAUCUGAUGUGACAGGGCUAAAGUUUAGUCCCUCCUCCAAAACACCCUCUAAAAGUAUCUCCACUCAUCUCUCUCCAUCCCUCCAAAAUAAACCAGGACCAGUUUUUUUUUCUUCGCUAGCUCUAUCUUCUCCAUCCACUACUACCGCGAAAAACUGCACUGGGAGAAGACCUCUCGAAAGCAUCCUAAACAUGUUGGUGGUAGUUUUCAAGAGAGUAGAAAAAUAGAAAAUGUGAAUAAUAUUAAAAGUACGACGUACCUAUAUACAUUUCUUAUGUAUAAGAAAAUUGUUUGUAAUGUAACGAUGGACCGAUAAUAAUGUUUUUGUGUGCCAGGCGAAAAAGGUACUACUAACAGGCAUAUCCUGUUAACUACUAACAGGAGUAUCCAUUUGACCUUGUAGAAUAGUAAAAUUGGAACCAAUAAACAUCAUCAAACGCUGCUAGAGGCACUCCAAGAGUCGGCCUAUUUUGGCCGACUAUUUUACUUGUGCUAAUCGUAGUUCCCGUUGACAUUCCGCAUGCUUAGCUCGCUUAAUUAUCAAGACAACGUACGCAAAAAGCACAGGCAUCUCCCCUAAAGCCCCAUAUGCACCUACCGUGGCAACGCGUCGACACCCGUCAAAGGCACAAAGACGUCACUGCCAAAACGGCAUUGAUCCUCAUCCAAGCUCACCGCCCGUCAUCAACCAAUUGAUUAAUGCAAAUGAACUUACGUGCCCAUGGAUCUGACCAGUCGUCUGGCCCCACGAUUCCCGAAUGGCCGAAUGACAGUAACAGUCUCGUGGAGAGCAUUUCAUCCGUUUUCAUAAUUGAAAUUAUAUUUCUCUGUUUACCGUGUUAUUAUGCAUACGAGCAUGUAUUCUCUUUGUUAUUAAAUCGUCGUUUUAGCUUUUCAGGUACGAUAACGUGAAGUUUAAAUAUAUUUUCGACAUAAUAAAAAUGAUGCACUUAAACAAUUCAAAACGAUUGAGUUUUGAGAUGGAGAAUAAUUUUUUACCCCAGCAACACAAGAUGUCAUGAAUUGAAUUGAGGAGGAUGAUUUUGGUGUGAGCCCAUGGACGCGGGUCGACGGCCUGGCUGAGAGGAAGGGAAAUCUACCGUUCGGCAUCACUACCUCUGGACGCUUCUUUCCACCGUAUACGUACUUUGCUUCCUACAAAAGCUACCUUCAAUCCUGUACACGAAAUCUAUUAGUAUUUAUUUACUCUAGAAAAAGACGGUAUGAAAGGAAACUGACCUGCCAACCCAACGGUAAAAAGGGAUUUUUUUUGGUAACUGGUAAAAUGAAUUGUAAGUAAUGGCAGGCAAUAAACACCUUCCAAACAGGCGGCCCUCUGGCCUCCCCCUCACCCCUUCUAUAAAAGCCACCUUACUCUCCUUCCCUUCCACCCAUGAACAGCAAGAAAGAAUAGUCUAGUCUCCAGCCUCCCCUCCCAGAUUCCCCUUCUCCUGUCUCUCCUCCCCAGUCGUCUUUCAAGUCCCCUUUUUGAAGCUUUGCUGCUCGUUUUUUUUUUAUAUCGUGCUUCUCCAUUAGUUUAUGGUGUUCUUGCAGAUCUCAUGUCUUUUUGGUGUUUGGUCUUUUGGUCAGCUGGAUGUUUGGAUUGGAAGCGGAGCUCCUAUCAUUCCAAUGAAGGGUCGUUUCGGUGGGUUGGUACCGCUGCUCGUUCAUGGUUCCCACUAUCCUAUCUCAUCGCCUGGAGGCUUAUCUUAGAGAGAGAGAGUUGAGUGGUCUGGUGUUUGCUUGAGAUAGGCUUGUGGCUUGCAUGACCGAGGAGCUGCACCGUCCCCUUGCUGGCCGCUCUUUGGAUUGAAGGGAGCUCUGCAUCUUGAUCCAACAAGGCCUCGUCUUUGCCUUUUUGUGCACCACUAAUGGCUGCUGCUUACCAUUUACAUGCUUAAUCUGCGUUGUUUCUCCUCGAUUGUUUGUGGAUCUUUUUAGUCCAUGUGCGUAGAUCUGGAGCUACUAUGUUCUUGUUCUGUAAUUUUUUUCUUCGUCUACUAUUUUUUUGCUUGUCCUGAAUCAGAGGUUCAGGAAAGUCUCUUGGGCAGAUGGGCUUAUCCGUGCAUCGUGCUGGAGGCUGGCAAGCAAGCAAGUAAGCAAGGGUACUUUGGCGUUGCUUUAUUCCUUUGUUGGUGAGAUGUUAUGUCACCCUUGUUUAUUGUUUUAUGUUCCUUUCGUAUUCACCCCGUUCGUACCGCGCGUGUGCAUUUCUGGUGGGGACUCUUGGAUCUCGCUCGCGACAUCUUCGUCUCCACAUCCCACUUCGAGGCGCCUGCUCGCCUUCCUUUUCUCGCGCCCUCCCGCCCCCCACCUGACAGAUUCGCAUCAGGUGCUCGGAUCUGAGCUCAGCGAGCGCACAUCACAUGUGGUGCCCUCGGCUACCUCCCCUUCUUUGUUUGUCUGGUUUGGGCCGAUGUUUGCAGGUCACUCUAGGCUAUCCUGUGUUCUUGGUGAUGAGCAGAUGCUGCGGAAGCCAAUCCAUGGCAUGCUCCGGAGCUCUCUCUGAGCCUGUGACGACGACGAAGGCGACGCCUGAUGUUUCUGCUUGAAGACCGGCGCUCAAGUGUGGAUUGUUGUGGCCACGGACUAUUGUUUGUUGUAUGGUUUCUGGUAAUGCGUUCCGUUGUGCAUUUUGUUGUAUCACAUCACCACGGAUUAUCACUAAUAAUCUCUGGUUCGGAAAGGUAGGGCAUCAUACGUUGCGUUGUCCGUGCCUCGGGAAGAAGUCCUUGCAACCUGGGCUUGUAAUAAGUUUAGAUGGGCCAUGCUGAAUGAAAAUUACCUACCAAUUUGGGUGUAAACUUGUAUGAUGAAUCCUUGAGGCACGAUCCUUGCAAUAUUAAUCAGAAUUCGGAGCAUGCAUUUUAAACCUUCUUCCUCGAUCUUCAGCUUAGAUGCGCAGUGGUAAUGGUGAACCUCAUCUACUAGCAAUGUAAUUGUUAAGGAGAGCUAUUUAUAUCGUCUAUUGUGCAUCGUGUUAUGGCAUUGUUUCUUUAAGUGAUACUAGUAGCACAUGAAAGCUUGUAGCUAGGUCUGACGAUAAACUCAUGACUCGCUAGCUCGCUUGACUCAGCUCGUUAGUGGUACUGAUUCAGUUCAUUAGAAAUUCUUCAUGAGGCGGGCUCAACUUAUAGCUCGUUAGAGGUAACGGCUAGCAGCACGCUGCAAACAAUCUAAUUUAGUGACAUCGAUCUAUUUUUUUUACUUGGAUUUAAUUUGUGAUCUCCAUAUUCGAGAUGCAAUUCCAGCGGCACCCUCUCCUCGUUGCUGCCUUUGUGUCCGUAUAUCAAGCCAGCUCGAGCUGACAAACAAGCCGAACUGAGCCAGACUUCUAGCUUGUUAAGAUAACGGGCCGAGCCGAGCUGGCUCGAUAUCCACGCCACUUGUAACACAUGUAAGCAUUGGAUGAAAGCGCAAAGAAAGAUCUUACAAUCCAGGCUCGUUUUGAGCUUUCGCGUAUUUUAGGCCAGCUUUUCCAUAUUUUAGGCAAUAGGCGAAAACGUAAAUACCAACUGUGAAAUGAAAAUUGAAAAUAACUAAUAAUGAAAGUAAAACAAAAAAAAUUCUCAAUACCAGGCUUGUUUUUAACCUUUUUUCUGUAUUUUAUGCCAAAACAUAGAUGUGAGUGGUAAAGAUAAUAAUUAUGAAAGUGAAAACAAAAGGUUCUUAAAAUCAGGACACGUUUAAAAGCUUUUCCGCGUUUUAGGUCUGAAAGUAAACAUGAAGUAAUAAAAUAAAUGUUUAUAAAAGUCAAAAUAGAAAGUUCUUAAAACAUGGGAUCGUUUUAAGCUUUUCCGUGUGAGGAGGAAUAAGGCUACUCACGCAUCACCACCGACCAGGAUGUUGGUCGAUUCUAACAGGUGGGCUUACCCGACCAUGCCGUGCGGGUCAAGGUACGAAGAAACGUGGAGCAUAAGUUCGGAGGCCAAGCGAACGGAUUCUAUCCGGAUAUCACGGGAUAUUUGUUGUAAACCGACUCAGAUUGCUUUCCAUUUAAUAAUCGAUUAGGAUUAAAUUCUAUCCGAUUGUAACUCUAGGUCGUCAGGCUAUAUAAGACGGCUAGGGGCGCCCCCCGAGGGCACGUUAACUCUUCGCACUUGCGAUCAGUAAUACAAUCCACCAGAACACAGGACGUAGGGUAUUACUCUCCGAAGAUCCGAACUUGUCUAAACCUUGC
rnacentral:lncRNA from 1 species